GAGUUUGAUCGUGGCUCAGGAUGAACGCUGGCGGAGUGCCUAAUACAUGCAAGUCGAGCGGCAGCACGAGUAGUUUACUACUUGGUGGCGAGCGGCGGACGGCUGAGUAACGCGUGGGAACGUGCCCCAAAGUGAGGAAUAACUGCCCGAAAGGGUAGCUAAUGCCGCAUAUGAUCUUCGGAUUAAAGUAUUUAUUACGCUUUGGGAGCGGCCCGCGUCUGAUUAGGUAGUUGGUGAGGUAAAGGCUCACCAAGCCGAUGAUCGGUAGCUGGUUUGAGAGGAUGACCAGCCAGACUGGAACUGAGACACGGUCCAGACUCCUACGGGAGGCAGCAGUAAGGAAUCUUCCACAAUGGACGAAAGUCUGAUGGAGCAACUCCGCGUGCAGGAUGAAGGCCUUAGGGUUGUAAACUGCUUUUAUGAGUGAAGAAUAUGACGGUAACUCAUGAAUAAGGGUCGCUAACUACGUGCCAGCCG
rnacentral:rRNA from 1 species